CGCCAGCCACACUGCCGCCGCGAUCUGCGAUCCCGGUCACUUCCUUCCUUCCUUCCUCCCGAGACUGCUCGUCUACUCUCCAACUGGAAACCCGGAAGCCUGUCCACUCGCAAUCACCUGGCAUGCAGCUCGUAGCAGCGCCUGGCCCUCGAUCGCCUCGAGCACGCGUCGUCCCGGGGGCCAUGAAACCCAUCGCCAUCGGCGCUCCCUUCAUCUGCGCUCUGCUGCUCCUGCAUUGCCUGGUCGGCGCACCAGCAGCGCCGGCAGAUCGCGGUGGCGGCGCGGCGCCGUCGUCGGCGUCGAGCGGUGGCUUCCGGUUCCGGCCGCGGAAGCUGCUGCGGGAUGCGGUCGCAAGAGCAGCGGGCGCGCAGGUGCUAAACGCUGCCGCCGCCGCCGCCGCAGCGGCGGCGGGGGAGAGCCGCGGAGUGGGCGCGAGCCUGAAAAAGCAGACGCCGAGCAAGUCGAAUCCGAAGCAGAAUUAGCAAGAGCUGAGGAAAGAUUUAGGGGAGCGUUUUUCAGAUAUAGAUGUCUGUAUUUCGUUUCUCGCGUUUUGGAGUUGUAAUUCGUAACAGUUUAGAAUAACUCCAACAGCCUAGAUAAAUUUAUUUUGUUCUGUAAAAUUAAAAUUAAACCGAGUUCCAACAGUCUUUGUAUACGCCUCACUUCUCUAUCGAGUCGCUAUCCCCCAUUGCUAGCUAUCUAUACCAAGCAGCUCGGACUCGCCAUCAGCCCCGUCGCGCGCGCCAGCCGAGUUCCCGCGCCUCCCUCGCGCUCCCGCGCCCCUGCCGCCCUCGCACUUCUUCUCCCUCGCGCCGCCGCCGUCGCGCCGUGCCCACUCCCGCGUGCAGUCGCCGUCGCGCCCUAGCCCGCACCCAGGCCGUGCCGCCGUCACGCCCUGCCGCCAUCGCCUCGCCAUGUUUAGGCCUUUCGUCCCCGUUCAACGCCGGCUGGGGAAGGGGGUGGCGGACCGUGGGAUGGAUCCGCCCGUAGUGUUUCGCUAUCCCAAUUUGUGGCAAGAAGGGUGGAUCCGGAGGGAGCUGGUGAUGAAUCCGGCGUCGGAUCGAUGCGCCGUCGUGUGCUUCUUCCCACGAGCUUCCAUGGCCGGCUGCCAGAUAAUCUGCUGAGUAUCGAUUCAUUCGACGUGGAGGAGGCCUACACUGGUACACUGGCACUGUCGCACGUCGUGAGGGGUCGAUGGAAAAAAAAGGAAUCGCCAGGAAGGACAGUCUGAUUUGAAUGUGGAUCUUUUAUUUGAAUAUGGAGUGUCUAAUUUGGAGAGUGUUGUUUCCCCACCAUUUAGGAAGUCUUCUAUUUUCUUUUUCUUAGAGGCCUUCUAAAAUUCUAAAUUUACCUAGUAUUUUAUCUAGACUCUUGGAAUUCCUCUUAGAAGCGGCGAUCGCCUGAUUCUGUUUUCCUCAUUCAGCUUUGGCAAAGUGUUUUUUAAAGAAAACUUUGGCAAAGUUUUGACAUUUCCCAUCAUUGUCCAUAAGAUGAAGCCCGUUUUCUCUUUGCUGUAA